CUCUGUGGUGGGUGUGUUUGUUCAGUUUGUUCAGUCUAACGGGCAAAGUUUAGUGUAAUUCAUUGGCUGUACAAAGCAGAAACUGUUAGAAUGGAUCCUGCCCUUUUACUGCUUAUACUUUCCAACCUGGCUUACAUCCAGUGUCAGUCUCAACAGAAGGUCUCUCAGUGGCCCUCACAGACAGUGGUGACCCAGGGCUCCUCUGUGGAGCUCCAGUGCAGUCAGAGUGGCUCUGAUACCAACAUGUACUGGUACCGCCAGCAGAGCUCUACAGGACUACAGCUUGUCAUGUUUUCUCAGUAUCCGAGUGAGCCAGAGAGGGGAGAGAACAUCAGCGCUAGAUUCACCAGCACCAGACCGAAGAGGGAGAAUAUCUCUCUCACUAUCACUCAGACAGAGGAGUCUGACACAGGUGUUUACUUCUGUGCAGCGAGUCCCACAGCAAGUGACUCUGUCCCUCCUCCUGCAACAAAACACAAGAUUAUUAGACUAAGCCAAUCAUUUCGAAAACAUUUUCAUUUUGGUGUUAACUGA